AUGCACGUCUAAGUACAAUCGUGUAUUAACCGAGAAACUGCAGAUGGCUCAUUAGAUCAGUUAUGGUUCAUUGGAGCCAGUUCACGACCAUGGAUAACUGUGGUAAUUCUAGAGCUAAUACAUGCAUCUAAGCGCCGACCCUUCGGGGGAAGCGUGCUUUUAUUAGGAACAAGGCCAGCCCGGUGUCUCGCUUCGGCGUGCCCGGUCUCCGCUGGUGAACUCUAGAUAACCCAGCCGAUCGCACGGUCUCGCACCGGCGACGCUCCCUUCAAAUGUCUGCUCUAUCAACUGUCGAUGGUACGUUAUGCGCUUAUCAUGGUAGUGACGGGUAACGGAGAAUCAGGGUUCGAUUCCGGAGAGGGAGCCUGAGAAACGGCUACCACA
rnacentral:rRNA from 4 species